UGAGGAAGCUGCCAGCAGAGCAAGCUGCACUCUCCCCUUGCAAGAUGCCAACAAAUUAAGCAGAACCUAAGGAUCGGGUGGAGAACGACUGAAAACCGUGGAUGGAAGUGAACGGAAGACCUGUACCUGAAGGCCAGUACUCCGACACCUGAUCCUAGGCUGCUAAUUGAUGGCACCUGAUACCAGAAUAAGAUCGACGACGAGGAGUUCACCAAUUUCUCCUCCAUGUAUGAUGCCGCUGGACGAGGAUGUCAUGAUGGGCUCAAAGGCAUCAGUCAGACUGAAGGUCAAGUGUUUUUCAUUAUUCGACUUCCACACCAUGCAGAAGAUGUGAUCUUCUCUUUAUCCGCUCUUAUUAUCUUAUUUUUGCUCACGGCUUUCCCGUUUAUUAUGUAUUUCAGCUGCGCUUGGUUUUCACCUGUUGGUGUUUGUUUAUGUCAUCGUGUACAAUUGUGUGAUUAAUUACAAUUCAAAGUUAAAAAAACACAUUACCUUUUCUUAUGAAAGCAGAAGUGCACAGUGUACACUUUGUAAUGUCUCUUGUAAUCUUUGUAAAUUGGCAAGGUCUCUGUAUUCUUUGCAUCCUUUUUGCAUCACCUUCAAACAUUUUACUCUAAACUAAGAAAACACUGAUUACAAUAACAAAUGUAUUGCUCCACCUCAUCUUCAGGCGUUAUAUUCCUUUGGAUGGUGAUAGGCUAGGUUGGGGUGUCAAACAUACGGCCCAUGUGCCAAAACUGGUCCGCUAGGGGGUUCAAUCCAGCCACUUGGUGAAUUUUGAAAGUGAAAAAAUGCACAAACAAUCAUGUUGGUG